UGUAGCUCAGUGGUAGAGCACUUGCUUAGCAUGCAUGAGGCCCUGAGGUUAAUUCCCAGCA
rnacentral:tRNA from 1 species